UGCAUUGCAUUACUUUACGCAAAUAUGACUGUCAACGACAGGCUGGUCUGACGUGACCGACACUAGCAACCUUACACCACCGCCUAGUGGACGGAUUGAUGAACGACAAGUAUCGCCGCGACAAUUUAAUCAAACUGCGGCGUGAUGCAGGAUGCGCACAGCGAUAAUAACGAAUGCAGGUUUGCACGUGUUUUUCUAAGCUUUUCUCCUUAUCAAUAAGCUUAGUUGUCCUUGAGCAGGUGGAUAAUUAUCACUGGCCUCAGUCUGUGGCAGAUUAAUGGAAGUGCUGUGCUCGCCACAAACUGCGGUCCCACGGGGUUCAUGUGGGCGGUGGUCCUGCGAUCUUAUAGAGGCUCCACGUCGAGAGUAAAACGUGGCGCCUGACGGACUGUCGGCUCGGUCCCAUGAAUAAUAGAGCAGGGUCGCUAAUGUCGGACCGCCUGGACAUAAAGUAAGCAAAAAUGCACAGGAGGAAUUAAAUUAAUUGAUGUCUUUUCUAUAUUUUAAUUUUGAGUUAGCACUACUGUUACUGAGUAGCAGUUUGGCAGUCAUUAGAUUUGGAAAAUGUUAAUCCGUCGACAAUUAUUGAUGAUUCUAGAUGAUUAUUAUGAUAACAUAUUUGCUUACAUUUUACAUAGGCACCGUUUAAUAUUAGUUUACCAUUUUGCUAAAAUGCUACAUUCAGACUAGUUGGUCAACCAGAGAGACAGGAAAGGUUAAUCAACUUGGAACUAACUACAGUUUCUUUUCAGAAUGAAAUAUCAAUAUCUGACAUCGGUAUAUAGCCAUGCAUUACAAUGAUGUUUCCACUUUAUUGUAGAAAAGGGCUUGUCAUUAAGAAUACAGAAAGGACUGUUCGAGGGAAAAAGAGAAAGAUAAAAAAGAGGAGAUUCCUUCAUCACUGUUUUUGAAGGACAGUAGGUCAAACAUGAAUUUUUGCCCCUCUCAAUUUGAUUAGAUUUUUUUCAUCAGAUAUGGCACAGCUGUUAUAAAUCCCAUUUUGAGGAUGUUUUUAUUUAUUUCCAAGUCAUUUUAGCUUUGUUACUGAACUAGCAAUUUGUUUCAUUUCACACAUUCAGGAAUGAUAAAGGUGAGGAAUUAUUGCUUCACAUUUCAGACCUGGUGUUGAGUUCCAGCUGCCUCUCCACACCAUUUAUUAAUUUUACCCUUUAUCAGUCAUCUUAUGUUUUCUUGUGUUUUCUUGGACAGUUUUUUCAAUUAAAUGGACAGUUUUUCAAUGAAAAAUAUACCACAUCGUAUGCAAAAAUACCAAAAAUGACCAAACUAUUUGGGUAAAAAGUAUUACAUUUUACUUUUCAUGUAUAUAAUUAAUUUUCGUUCAAACUCUACUUGCAAUCUGUAGGUGGAAUGUUGUGCCUUUUUAAUUCAUCAAGCAUUCUGACAAUGUUCUUUUAGCACUCCCGUGUCUGUAUUGUUUAUUAAUCAGACUGGCUAGAAAUAUAUAUGUGAAUGAGGAACAGAAUGUCCAUAUCCAUCUGGACUCUAGAGCUCCUAGAACUUCCUGUCCGUCUCGUUCGUCUGGCGAAUGUAGUCCGCAGUGCCCCCUUCUGGCGAAGGAUGGUACCUUUCGGAGAAGGUGACAUUCGCACGCAGUGGGAUCCUCAUCCUUGCCAGGCUGGCAGAUGCUCAGAUCGCAGGUGGAGCGCUCACACAGGAGAGGGAGAUCCUGCGCUUGUGCCAGCCUACAAACUCACCCACCAGCCUGCCCACAUCUCCACCUGCCUGCUGCUUCCCUGACCCCAAGCCGGGUCUCAGUGUUGCGUAAAAUCAUGCGCGUCCGUAAUGAGCUCUUUCUGUCAGCGUCCCCCGCAGAUGGCGUAACAGUUUAAUGGAUUGUAUUCAGGCUGACGGACACCUGCAUCUUACUUUCUUCCUGCAGUACCAUCAAGAGACAAUAGAUGGCAGUAAACAACUAGGAAUCUGCUUAGAGUUCAUUGCAGUUGGUCCUGUUUUAGGCAGUAUUACAUUUUUUUAAGCUCUGUGAGAAAAUGUUAAAGUCACUCAAAUUCUAAAAACCUGAACUCCAAAUUUUCCAACAAGUAUUUAGAUCACACAGACAAUUUGUCAUUUUAAUGUCUUUUUUGGGGGGGUGUGUCAACCACACUGUACUCGCAUAAUGCAGUACAGUGUGGUUGACAGUGUCAUGGUCCUGUGUUCCUGUCUGCGUGUUUCCUUGUUGGGCCGCCAGAUGGCGGCACUUCGGUUUUGUGUCCUGUUUAAUUGUAUUAUUGUUUCCAAUUGUCCUGUUAGUGUUUGCUGGUUGUCUCGUUUUCCCCUCCUUCUCUGUGGCCUGAUUGUUCAUGGUGCCCUCCUGUGUCUCGUCAGUGUCUGUUCUAUUUAAGUUUCCCUCUUCCUUGACUCAGGUGCUGGAUCCUUGUGGUUAUGUCUGGUUGUUUUGUGUGCCCCUACCCAAGUACCUGCUCCAUGUGUUCCUGCCCAUGUCCUGGUUUCCUGGUGUUUUUUGGAUUUCCUGCAUUUACUUUGUUCCUGUCUUUUGAAGUUUUCCUUGUUUGUUGAAGGUUGCCAUGUGAGGCAACCUUUUUUUUUGUUCCCUUUUGUUUCAAGUAAAGUCUUUUUGUUCUUUCAUUUGGAGUUUUGUAUUUUUCCACCCUCUGCGUUUGGGUCCAAACCCCCCACGCAUCCUGACAGACAGCUCAAUUGUAUUAUCUUUGAAUAACUGUGACAUACUGUUAUUCAUACAUGUUAGGCUAGGUAUUUUUCUUUGGGCAAUUAUGUAUGCUUGAAAAAACACUGCAGGUGUUCAUUAUUUUAAUUCAACCUUCUUUGCUCAUCAUAAUUGUGGAGGGCACCAUAUAUGUUAUAAUACUUUGAUUCGGAGACAUCUUUAAUGGGCACUGACUUUUCUUCUUCAGAUCAGUGAUUGUUUUGAUAUCAUCUUCAAGAGCUGUUUCAGAUAGUGUAGUGACCCAGAGUGCCACAAAUGGGUGAAGUGUAUGCGCUUACACAUACAGUAUAGCUGACAUACACUCACCGGCCACUUUAUUAGGUACACCUUGCUAGGACCGGGUUGUCUUCUGCUGCUGUAGCCCAUCUGCUUCAAGGUUCGAGGUGUUGUGCAUCCAGAGAUGCUCUUCUGCAUACCUUGGUUGUAACGAGUGAUUAUUUGAGUUACUGCUGCCUUUCUAUCAGCUCAAACCAGUCUGGCCAUUCUCCUCUGACCUCUGCCAUCAACAAUGCAUUUUUGCCUUGUUUUGAGAACUGCCGCUAACUUGAUAUUUUUUCUUUUUGGGACCAUUCUCUGUAAACCCUUGAGAUGGUUGUGCAAGAAAAUCCCAGUAGAUCAGCAGUUUCUGAAACACUCAAACCAGCCCUUCUGGCACCAGCAACCGUGCCACGUUCAAAGUCACUUAAAUCACCUUUCUUCCCCAUUCUGACGGUUGGUUGAUGUCUACAUGCCUAAAUGCAUUGAGUUGCUGCCACGUGAUUUGCUGAUUAGAUUUCUGCGUUAAUGUGCAGUUGAACAGGCGUACCUAAUAAAGUGGCCGGUCAGUGUACAUGUUAAAUAGUUGGACUUAAACUGCAGCCCUACCCUGCUUCACACCCCUGCUUGAAGCUCUCUCUUCUUUUGUUGCCAAUUUUGAUGUUGGACAUUUGUCUUAAUAAUGUCAUUUAUAACUCUGCCUGCGUUGUGAGCUUCUUAUGCAAGCGCAGAGGAUGGUGCAUGUUCAAAAAUAGCAGCUUCCAACUCUCUCUCUCUCUCGGUAUGUGCUUGUCCAUACGCACGAGGAACAGGUCAUUCAGGACACCCGGGAGAGCUCCGUGGCUAUGGAUCCCUUCCAGAGACCUUUUCUCACAUCAGGCCAUGGAGUAACCUGACAGAGGCUCCGCCCCACGCUGAUUGAUGUCUCUCCCUUGGCAUUAUUUGUGGGGCUCUCAGAAACCUCUUAGCGAAAGAUACUUCAAGACGUAUUGCUUGUUUCCAGUUACAGCCACCUUGUCAUCUGAAGCAGACCCUGUUCAUGGCCAUGUGAGGCAGCUGGCUUUGGUGGGUGGGACACUGGGGAGGUGGGCUGAAACCACGCCCAUCGGGCGUUUCCCAUGAGCCCUCCAGUUACGUGCAGGGUCUGCCAUAUCUGCAGACUGGCUGUUCCAUUGGUGUAAAUACGCCAGUGACAUCAUCACGGUCGUGCCACAAACCUCCAGGUGUGAGGGCAGCCAGUGCUAUCAGAGUCCAUGUCUACUUGACCCUCAUCCACAUUGACAGAAGGGAUGGACUUUGAAGUCAUCAGCUGAACAGCUGCACAGACAGCUCUUUUUUCUGUUUGGGUUUUUGUGCAUGUGCACGUAUUCAUGUGUGUACUUGUGGAGAGAGACUGAAAAGGCACCCUUUCAGAAAGCAGAACUUUUUAUUUUAUGUUUUAUCGAAACAAUGUUUCAACGUUUUAUGUGACAAAUGGUAAAUUUACAGUGAGGAGGUACAAACAUUGUAAUAGCUUGUCACAAUGGCAGUGUACAGUAGAUAAACACGUGAUGCUUUAAAACCAUUGUGCAAUGUGUAACACAUAACUAGAUAAGGAAGUGUAUGGUUGUCAAGGCAGUUAUAUGGUCUAUUUUAGCAUCGUCCCAUACAAAAAAUAUGAUAAAUGAUUCAAUGUCUACUUUUCCAAAUAAGUAAUGUUUACGUGCCACGGGGCGAAAACGUUAUAAAAAUAUAAAGCUGACCCUCUGACACCAGAAACAUGUAGCAUGCAUGAACACCAAGCUUUGGAGUCUUUGAACAUUUUUUGAAAGUAAAUAUUUUUUCAAUUUUUAAAUUGAAUUUAAAGCAUCUUAUCUAACAAUACAAAUACCUAACAAUACCUAACAGUAAAAUUACAUAAUAGAAUUAUAUUAUUUGCAAAUAUCUAAAUUACAAUGCAUGUGUAUCAAGUUCCUCUUGCGCCAGAGUUUUUGACCAGACAUUAAGUCAACAUCUGAUUACUUACAAAUGAAAAUAAUAUUGACAUUGCUCCACAGUUUUAUUUAAAGUUCACAGGCUUCACCUUUCGGUUGUAAAAGAGAGGUUUACUCCAGAGCAAAAGCCAGAAUCUACAUGUCUAGAGGGGUGGAAAUCUAGCCUGAGAGACACCUUGAUAUAAGCAGACUUGGUUAACCGCAAUAUAGCUCAGGUUUUACCUGCAUAUAGCUUGGCUAUGUCGUAGUAAGCUAGAAAACUUUCACUUUUCGACCAAAUGCAGCCGGGUUUUCACCUAGACUCCAUUUCAUCAAAAUUUUCACUGAAAAGAUAACUUUCAACCAGCAGGCUGAGAAAAUGAAGGACUUGAGGCAAUGGAAAUAGGAAGACAAGAACACAAUGGAUUUGUGGAUGUAUUGAAAACCGUUGCUGCCCAAUGAUGAAAAUUUACUUUGGUCAAGACCAGGACAAAUUAGACAAUUUAUUUAGCGCAUCCAGAAUUGUGCAUUACCAUACAAUGCAUCGUCAGAAAACACUGUAUGCAUUUCUCUUUGCUGUUCUAGGUAUGUGGAUUGUUAUGGCAACAGCCGGCCUCUUCCGGUUGGGUUGAAUAACCUGUUCAACAGGUAACAAUGGCAUACUCCAGUUCCUUAUGUGAGCCUGUUCAUUAUGCUGAUGCAAUCUCAAUUCAUUGAAUUCAGUGGGCAUGACCAUAACUACAACUGGGGGCAUGUCAUGUCCAGCAACUCCACAUUGUUUUAAACUGCUGUUUAAUUCUGCCAUCACUGAGAAUGAGUACUAACUGUAACCUCAUUAUGAAACAAUACAAAUCUUUAAUUAAAAUAAUGAUCCGGAUUUGUAAUUCUUAGUCUUUUCUUGUUAAAUGAGUAUUGAGCUAGAGAUACAGUAAAUAGCUUUGUUGUUUGUGUGAACAGGUGAGAAAGAGUGAGAUGUCCAAAGAUGAAAAAUAACUCAUUUUGUUCUUUUUUUGUUCUUUUAUAUACAGAAUUUUGUCACAAUGUCUAUAAAUGAAUUGAAAACACGGAUUGGCAAAAAUGACCACAGCAAUGUACUUUGGGUAGAUGGAUGCACUGACAACAGAGAGAUCUGAAAUCAUCGCAGUAUGAACAUUGGAAUUAAUAAUAACAUUUGCAAUACCUUGGAAAA